rnacentral:rRNA from 1 species
CGAAAGGACCAUAAUUAAAUAAUAAUUAUUUUUUUUUGAUUAAUAUUAA